UCGGCAAUAGUUUAGUGGCUAGAAUUUCCGCCUGUCACUCGCGGGGGACCGGGGUUCAAUUCCCCGUUGCCGAG
rnacentral:tRNA from 1 species